UACGUAGGUGGCAAGCGUUGUCCGGAUUUACUGGGCGUAAAGGGCGUGCAGGCGGCUUGUUAAGUGCAGGGUGAAAGCUCCCGGCUCAACUGGGAGAGGUUCUUGCAUACUGGCGAGCUCGAGGGAGGCAGAGGAAAGUGGAAUUCCCGGUGUAGUGGUGAUAUGCGUAGAGAUGUGGAGGAACACCAGUGGCGAAGGCGACUCUUUGGUCUGUAACUGACGCUGAGGCGCGAAAGCGUUGGGAGCAAACAGG
rnacentral:rRNA from 1 species